CACGUAGGCACCAAGCGUUGUCCGGAUUUAUUGGGCGUAAAGAGCUCGUAGGCGGUUCAGUAAGUCGGGUGUGAAAACUCUGGGCUCAACCCAGAGACGCCACCCGAUACUGCUGUGACUUGAGUACGGUAGGGGAGUGGGGAAUUCCUGGUGUAGCGGUGAAAUGCGCAGAUAUCAGGAGGAACACCAGUGGCGAAGGCGCCACUGUGGGCCGUAACUGACGCUGAGGAGCGAAAGCGUGGGUAGCAAACAGG
rnacentral:rRNA from 1 species